rnacentral:rRNA from 1 species
GAGCCUUGAUGUGUAGGAUAGGUGGGAGGCUUAGAAGUGUGGACGCCAGUCUGCAUGGAGCCGACCUUGAAAUACCACCCUUUAAUGUUUGAUGUUCUAACGUUGACCCGUAAUCCGGGUUGCGGACAGUGUCUGGUGGGUAGUUUGACUGGGGCGGUCUCCUCCUAAAGAGUAACGGAGGAGCACGAAGGUUGGCUAAUCCUGGUCGGACAUCAGGAGGUUAGUGCAAUGGCAUAAGCCAGCUUGACUGCGAGCGUGACGGCGCGAGCAGGUGCGAAAGCAGGUCAUAGUGAUCCGGUGGUUCUGAAUGGAAGGGCCAUCGCUCAACGGAUAAAAGGUACUCCGGGGAUAACAGGCUGAUACCGCCCAAGAGUUCAUAUCGACGGCGGUGUUUGGCACCUCGAUGUCGGCUCAUCACAUCCUGGGGCUGAAGUAGGUCCCAAGGGUAUGGCUGUUCGCCAUUUAAAGUGGUACGCGAGCUGGGUUUAGAACGUCGUGAGACAGUUCGGUCCCUAUCUGCCGUGGGCGCUGGAGAACUGAGGGGGGCUGCUCCUAGUACGAGAGGACCGGAGUGGACGCAUCACUGGUGUUCGGGUUGUCAUGCCAAUGGCACUGCCCGGUAGCUAAAUGCGGAAGAGAUAAGUGCUGAAAGCAUCUAAGCACGAAACUUGCC